GACGGGGGGGGCAAGUGUUCUUCGGAAUGACUGGGCGUAAGGGCACGUAGGCGGUGAAUCGGGUUGAAAGUGAAAGUCGCCAAAAAGUGGCGGAAUGCUCUCGAAACCAAUUCACUUGAGUGAGACAGAGGAGAGUGGAAUUUCGUGUGUAGGGGUGAAAUCCGUAAAUAUACGAAGGAACGCCAAAAGCGAAGGCAGCUCUCUGGGUCCCUACCGACGCUGGGGUGCGAAAGCAUGGGGAGCGAACAGG
rnacentral:rRNA from 1 species